rnacentral:rRNA from 1 species
GACGAACGCUGGCGGCGUGCUUAACACAUGCAAGUCGAGCGAUGAAGUUCCUUCGGGAAUGGAUUAGCGGCGGACGGGUGAGUAACACGUGGGUAACCUGCCUCGUAGAGGGGAAUAGCCUUCCGAAAGGCAGAUUAAUACCGCAUAAGAUUGUAGUACCGCAUGGUAUAGCAAUUAAAGGAGUAAUCCGCUAUGAGAUGGACCCGCGUCGCAUUAGCUAGUUGGUGAGGUAACGGCUCACCAAGGCGACGAUGCGUAGCCGACCUGAGAGGGUGAUCGGCCACAUUGGGACUGAGACACGGCCCAGACUCCUACGGGAGGCAGCAGUGGGGAAUAUUGCACAAUGGGGGAAACCCUGAUGCAGCAACGCCGCGUGAGUGAUGACGGUCUUCGGAUUGUACAGCUCUGUCUUCAGGGACGAUAAUGACGGUACCUGAGGAGGAAGCCACGGCUAACUACGUGCCAGCAGCCGCCGUAA